GACGAACCGUGCGAACGUUGUUCGGAAUCACUGGGCUUAAAGGGCGCGUAGGCGGGCUGCCGAGUCCGGGGUGAAAUCCUCCCGCUCAACGGGAGAACGGCCCCGGGUACUGGCGGCCUCGAGGCGGGUAGGGGCGUGCGGAACACUGGGUGGAGCGGUGAAAUGCGUUGAUAUCCAGUGGAACUCCGGUGGCGAAGGCGGCGCGCUGGACCCGAUCUGACGCUGAGGCGCGAAAGCCAGGGGAGCGAACGGG
rnacentral:rRNA from 1 species